AACGCACAUUGCGCCCCUUGGUAUUCCGGGGGGCAUGCCUGUUCGAGCGUCAUUUCAACCCUCAAGCUUUGCUUGGUCUUGGGCUCUGCCGGCAGCGGCUUGCCUUAAACUCAGUGGCGGUGCCAUUCGAGCUCUACGCGUAGUAAUAAAACCCUCGCGAUUGAGCCUUGGAAGGAUGCUUGCCAGCAACCCCCUAAUUUUUCUAUGGUUGACCUCGGAUCAGGUAGGGAUACCCGCUGAACUUAA
rnacentral:misc_RNA from 1 species